rnacentral:lncRNA from 1 species
GGGGGGUCUUUCAUGAUUCCUCAGAACUCUGCUUUCCCCCUUGCCCUGGCCCCCAGUUUCUUCAGCCAUGUCCUGGAAUCUUUGGGAGCACCUCAGAGGCAGUGCUUAUACCAUGUGUGAAUAUUCUUCGGCUGUAAGGGGGCAGUGUGAUGGUGAGCACUGAAAGCCGAAUUUCAGGAGACCGCGACGGCUGGAAGGAUGAUUGGAAAGGGACAGGUUUGAAAUGUGCUAACUCAGAUGGCAAGGAUUGCAUGUGGGGUUCAGACAGUCAGUUGGGCAAGUACCCAGUUAGGGAGCCCUGGGCUUCUAACAGUUCUCAUAAGGACCUGGACGUCUGCACUUCCUUUUGGUGGCAUUUGCUUUAUUUACAGUUGUUACAUUUAAUCACUUAAGUCGAAAAAAAAAAAGGAAACCAACAAGCAUCCAGGAAACUCAAAGCAGGGUAUCGAGGAUGCAGCAGGGAGUGGCCAGGUGGUAGAUGGUGACCUCUGUUCUCAUGGUGGAAGCACUCACUUGUGUCUUAGGCAAGUGUGAGGCACUAGCAGUUUUCCCUUUUUGCCAGUCCCCCCCCCCCACUGAUUUAGGUAUGCUGCCACCAGGUGGCAGUGAUAUCUCAGCAUCAGCAACCUGACUUCAUCCCUGGGGCUCUUUGCCACUCAUUCUGGAUGAGGUUGGAGGGAGGCAUGCUCUUCUUCCCAGUAAAAUGGCAAAGAAACAGAAGGUGUUUUUGAGGUACUGCUGGCUAAUGAAAUGAGCUUAGAGACCCACACGCAAAUCCUGGGUCUGUAGCAGUCUCGUGUAGUGUGCAUAGAUUCCAGCAAGUGUUGAUUCAGAUGCAAUUACUGAGUGCCGACAAUGGGCAAGGCACGGCUGGGUGCUUUCCUGUUCAUUGACAGCAGAGGACGAGGCUCCUAGGGGUCGAAUGACUCGCCCAUAGUCACGCAGUGCUUUCGUUACACUACCUCCAGCUACAUCCAGCUGCACCUGACUCUGAGCUUUGGACCCUUCCGCACAUUCAGGAUGUGUCCUGCUUCUCCUGCCUGCUACAGCCACUCUCUCCAUCUUUACCACCAACCAUUUUGGGGUUUGCUUUUUUCUUUCUUUUCUUCUUUUCUUUUUUUGCUUUUUAGGGCCACACCCACAGCACAUGAAAUUUCCCAGGCUAGGGGUUGAAUUGGAGCUGCAACUGGCAGCCUACGUCACAGCCACAGCAACACAGGAUCCGAGCUGCAUCUGCGACCUAUACCACAGGUCACAGCAACACCAGAUCCUUAACCCACUGAGCGAGGCCAGGGAUCAAACCCACAUCCUCAUGGAUACUAAUCAGGCUCAUUACUGCUGAGCCACAACACGAACUUCUGGGGUUUUCUUUUUCUUUUCUCUAUCUUUAACCUUUUUUAAAAAAAAAAAAAAUCAUUAGAACAUCAAAAUUCAGGACUUGUGAGAUCCCACAGCCUUAGCUUAGAUUUUCAAAUUUUCUACUUGCUGUUUUUGUCAUUUUUUUCCCCCUCCACUAAUACAUGUGCCCAUGUGGUAGCUGUGGUGCCCACAGAGAAUACAUUCUUCUGUUUGGUAAAAAACAUGGCCUCUUAGAUGCUGUGUUCCCAUUGAUUUCGUGUUUUUAUCCACCUGUACCGGUACCUGUCCUGCCCUGUGUCGUAUCACCUCCAAGGGGACCAAAAUUGGUAUUUGGGGGCUUGAAAACCUUGUUAUUCCAGUGGUAUGUGGCUUCCUAUCAGAUUUGUUUCUGCCACGCCACAGUGGAAACUCCCGUGGCAUGUCUUUGAGAUGGGGCGGCAGGAGGGCGGCAGCCUGUCCUGGGAGGGCUCCGCCCGGCGCCCUCCUCCUUUAUGCACAUUCGCAUGAAUCCUCGCAGUGGGGCUGCAAGGUCUUUAUUGAUGAGGGGACCAGGGAGACAAAGGCCAUUGCCACGGACAGCUGCUCCUAGGGGUGUCACACUCUCGCUUCUACAUAAGCCCUGGGCUGAGCCCUGCUGGGGUCCCCACUGCAGGGUGAGGAACUGGGAGUCUGAGGUGAAGGCCGUGGGGCUGGGAGCCUGGGUUGUCUCACCCCCUGGACCCCACCCCCCACCCCCCACAGGGAGAGAGAACCCCUGGUGCCAAGGUUCCCAGGGAGCCAGGUGCGAGGGACAGAAGGCCCUGGAGCUGACGCCCCGCCCCUGCAGGGGAGCUCACUUGGCGGGAAGGGCGGGCCCUCCAGUGGGUGCCGUCACCUGCAGCCUUGACCUUCCUCCUGGACCCACCUCCUUCUCCCUCUUGGGCAUAGGACCCUGAGGCCUUUCCUCCUGCAGGACAAGCCACUUCUAGAAGUCCUGCAACCAAGGCCCCUCUGACCACCACAGGUCCCCCCAGCACACGUACCCCAGUAGGGCAGGUGGCCUCACCACCCUCCUGUGCCAGCAGGUGCCAACACCUUGCUCGCCGCCCUGCUGAAUCCCCUCAACUGGGGAGGGCGGUGUCCUCCUGUUUCCCGUUUCACAGUUAAAUGACUUGCUCAAGGGCACGCAGCUUUCAGAUGGCAGAGCUGAGGUUUGAACAUCAUUUCAGUUCCAGAGCCCAGGAUGGUAACCACUGGCAUCAUGGCCCCCACUGCACGUGCGUGUGUCUGCGCGUGCGUGCGUGUGUGCGCGUAUGCGUGUGCAUGUUCCUGUGAGCGUGUGUGUGCACACGCACAUACACAGACACACGCACAUGCCGACACUUCCUCCGUCACACCUGUGGGCUUGUGCUCCUGCCUGUACCAUUCGCCUGUCUGUCCUCCUGCCUUUCGUGUCGGGGGCUGUGGUAUUUUUGUCUCGUGAGGCAUUUCACGAGAGCUUUGCGUUUUUCCCUGAGUCUCGCAGAC